GAUGGUUGCUGUUGGUUGCAAUUUGUAAGUAGUCAUGUGUAAAAAAGAAACAAGAAGAAAUUAGAUGUCCUGGCAGAAAAGAUCAAACUAAUCCUAAGGAAUUUGAAACUCCUAGCCGGCAGAAAGUAGUCUAAAGGACGCGAUCACUCAGCAUGGAAGCAAAGAAAAGUCACUAAGGAGACAUCGGGAAGCCUCAGUAACUGAGCUCUGGAGAGAAGAUGGACACAUCGCCUGUAGAGCUAACAGGGUGGUCUGAGCUGAACACGGACAAGGACUGCAGGUUUCGUGGAAGCAGGAGUUAUGAGCACCUGCUUCUCCCCAUCCCAUCCUGCGAGUGAGAUGCCUAACCACCUCUGCUUUGCUACAGCAACCAUUACUGUCAGAACACCAAAGAAGUCAAAGAACGGGCAUUCCAAAACUCCUUUUAUACUUUUCCUAAGACAUAAAUCAUCCAACUGAGUCCUCCGAAGACUUAUAAAUUCUAAGUCUGAGAACAAAAUUAUGGUUAAAUGUUUAAUUGAUGUUUAUUAUAGCUAGUGUAUUAGUUUUUGAAAGGUCAAAUUUAUGCUACAAUGAAGCAUAAUAUUUUUCCACAUUCUGUGGCUCUAAUACAUAGCACACCUGGGGCCAACAGUAUAAUAAAUAUCUUCUAUUAUUCUGUAGUGUUCUUGCAUGCAAACCUGUGUGGGGCCAAAAUAAAUAGUGUUGAAUUUCAAGCUAGUAUGAACCUUAGGCAGUCACUUCAUCUCUCAGGACUCAACUCUCAGAUCUGUAAAAGGACCGUGAAGGGAUAACUCUCUUGGCUUCUUCCAUGUCCAAAACUGUAAGCACAAUUGAACAUUUUAAAUUACUGUACAAUUUACAGAUUUAUCUCUCUCCUUUUACAAUAGAUUUUAUCCCAGCUAUUUACUGAGUCUUAGUCUCUCAUUAGGAAUGCAAAUUCUGAAGCUAAUACUGUAUCUGCAGGACAAUAAAAUUGACCUCAGCAUGA